AACGAACGCUGGCGGCAGGCUUAACACAUGCAAGUCGAACGCACUCUUCGGAGUGAGUGGCAGACGGGUGAGUAACGCGUGGGAAUCUACCCAGCCCUUCGGAAUAGCUCCGGGAAACUGGAAUUAAUACCGAGUACGCCCUACGGGGAAAGGAUUAUUCGGGUUGGGUAGUGAGCCCGGCCGUUGGUAGUUAGUCUAGUUGGUUGGGGGUAAGUGGCCUACCAACGGACGACGAUCCAUAGCUGGUCUGAGAGGAUGAUCAGCCACACUGGGACGUGAGACACGGCCCA
rnacentral:rRNA from 1 species